AACGAGGCCGACCUGCGGCUGAGUUACCUGCGGAAGGAUCAUUACACAAUACAAUAUGAAGGCUGUCCGCAGCUGGAGUAUUUUAUUACCCUUGUCUUUUGCGCACUUGUUGUUUCCUGGGCGGGUUCGCUCGCCACCAGGACCACCAAAUAAACCUUUUUUAUGCAGUUGCAAUCAGCGUCAGUACAAACAAUGUAAAUCAUUUACAACUUUCAACAACGGAUCUCAGAUCGGAAGAGC
rnacentral:misc_RNA from 1 species